UCUUCUUUAUUCCAACAGAAUGCGCAGUACGCUCGACUUCAGCAAUGGUCACCUAGAAAAGAACGAACCCAUUCCCAAAUUUUUGCCUCUUCAAUUCCCCUUUUCUCCUUCAAUUCGUACCUUUAAGCGUGCCUAGCACGAGCUCGAGGAUAACUGGAGGUUUCCAGAACGUUCCCAGCAACAUUAUCCUCUCAAUGUCCUUUCCUUUUGCCAAUUUUCGUUCAAAAAUGGUACGAAUUUGUACACUACCUAGUUGGCAAUCCUUAUCCGCUUAAGAAUUUUGAAAAAAAUGCCCAAUUCUCACAUCGUUUCCCCCCUCAAUUUCAACCCAAAAGUUGUCCUAUAUAAACUCCUCCCUUCUGCUGUUCAUAGUGGCGUUUUGAGACCUGAGAGUACCCCUAAAAAGGUUUAGGAAUUCUCGUCUUUGUAGUUUAAAAUUUUGUGGUUGCUCGAGUUGAAAGAAGUGGAAUCGUCUCCGUCAAACUCGCCGUCCAGUUCGCUGCCCCCUACCAGUUCAAUAGCAGAGUUACAACACUCCCAAAGGCUGAAAGUUGGAAAAUUUGGACAUAAAAGAAUCGAAUUCGACUGAAGUAGCAGAAGCCCCAAAGGGCUGAAAAUUUGAAGUUUUUGGACUUUCAAAAAUAAAAGUCCAAUGUUCAGCAGAUUACGGCAAUCUCGACAGCAUUGGGAAACUGGAAGUCCGGAUUAUUCACUCUUGUUUGCCCAUUUUCUUUGUUAUUAUUUAGAUGACCCCUAAUGUUUUUGUUUUUCAUAACUUGGAUGAAUCCUUUGGAGGUUUUUAAUGGCUUUCUAUUUCGUCA